GCUUAGGGGUUAGAGAUGUAAGAAAUAAACUUGUAAUAAUUAGGAUUGUAUUUGGAAGUUGAGGAUGUAUUGCAAAUAAUGUAAUAUAAAUGUGAAUGCUUAUAAUAGCAUAGGAUUUAUGUUGUUUGAUACCUUCCUUAUGCAAUCGUUGUCUGAAUACUGUUCCUGGUUGGAACCUGUUGUAAUUGUAUUGAUUGCGACGCCUUGGACGUACAGGGGAAACUCUGUCCGUUCGGCGGUCUGUCGGUGUGCCGAAUCUGACGAAAUAGGCGGGGCUCGGGGCGUGACAGAUAUAGUGGGGACUUAAUUUUCCGCGAACACCGAACCGCUUAACUCCUCGCAUCGGCGAUACCUUUAGAAAUACGCGGUCUCCUACCGCGAACUCAAUGUCCUUUCGCCGCUUGUCGGCAUAACUCUUGUGCCGGGACUGCGCCGUCACCAACCUUUGUCCGGCAAGGCGGACUUUCUCCUCCGCCUCUGGCACCACGUCGGGGCCAAGAACCAUUUUCUCGCCCACGUCGCUCCAAUGUAUUGGCGAGCGACACUUCCUUCCGUAAAGGGCCUCGAAUGGCGCCAUCGCAAUACUUUCUUGAUAGCUAUUGUUAUAUGCGAAUUCCGCCAUCGGUAAAUGAUCGUGCCAUCCGCCCUUAUAGUCAAGUACACACGCUCGAAGCAUCUCCUCAAGUAUUUGAAUAGUCCUCUCCGAUUGACCGUCACUUUGAGGAUGGAAUGUCGUGCUAAAAUCGAGCCGUGUGCCCAAUGCAUCUUGCAAGCUCUUCCAAAAAUGAGAUGUGAACCUAGGGUCUCGAUCCGAUACAAUAGAUACCGGAACCCUGUGAAGCCUCACCACCUCGUCAACAUAGACUUGAGCCAACUUGUCUCCCGACCAAGUAGUGUGGAUCGGCAAAAAGUGUGCCGAUUUGGUCAACCGGUCCACAACUACCCAAAUCGCGUCGUGUCCACCUUGUGAUCUAGGCAAGCCUGUCACAAAAUCCAUUGCGAUAUUUUUUCAUUUCCACACGGGUAUUGGUAGAUUUUGUAACUUUCCCACUGGAAAUCGACGUUCCGCCUUAACUUGUUGGCACGUGAGGCACUGCGCCACGAACUUCCCUAUGUCUUUCUUCAUGCCCGGCCACCAAUAAUGUAACUUCAAGUCUCGAUAUAUUUUGGUGCCGCCCGGGUGUAUACUGUAGGGAGAUUGAUGCGCUUCUUGCAUAAUCGCCUUCCGAAGGUCGUCGUCCUUGGAUACGCACCAACGAUCUCGAUAUCGUAGUGUGCUGUCGGUUCCAAUGACGAAAUCAUCGGCAUUACCGCUCUCAACUUUACUCCGCACCUUUUGGAGAAAUUCAUCCGACGCUUGUAGUCCUUUAAUCUUCUCCAACAAGGUUGGCUGCACAACCAGGGUGGCAAGUGUUGCCGGCACCCCCGGCGCCACAACCUCCAGACCAAACCGUUGCAUCUCCCUUUGCAACGCCGGUUGGGGCGUAACUUGCGUCGCCAAAUUUUCCGCCGACUUUCUACUUAGAGCAUCGGCCACGACGUUUGCUUUCACGGGGUGGUAGAGGAUCGUGACAUCAUAAUCCUUGAGCAACUCUAACCACCGCCGCUGUCGCAAGUUUAACUCCUUUUGGGUGAACAAGUAUUUGAGACUCUUAUGAUCAGUGUAAAUCUCACAAUGUUCCCCAUAUAAGUAAUGCCUCCACAAUUUUAGCGUGAAUAUAACCGCCGCUAGCUCAAGGUCGUGAGUCGGGUAGUUCUUUUCAUAAUUCUUCAGUUGGCGCGAAGCAUAAGCUAUGACUGGGCCGUUUUGCAUUAAGACACACCCGAGUCCCAUGUACAAGGCAUCAUUGUACACGACAUAGCUCUCUCCCGGUGUCGGCAAGGCAAGCACGGGAGUAGAUGUUAAUCUAGUCUUUAGCUCUUCAAAGCUCCGCUCACACUCGNUCGCCACCCAUUGCCUCGACAAGGCGGCGAAGGUGUGGUGGAAGCGGUUGAAGCGAGAUCGACCCUCUGAUCUUCCACCAAUGCUUUGGGAGGAGUUCAAGAAAGAGAUAUUCGGAAACUACUUCCCCGACACCGAGAAGCGAAAAUUGAAGGAGAGGUUUCGCAAACUGAGACAGGGAGACCGUUCUGUGGCUGACUACGAGCAGGAGUUCUCCCACAUCAUAGACUGCGUCUCGGACGUGGUCAAGGACGACGCGGAUCGAGCCGAGUGGUUCUUGCGAGGACUUCGGCCGUGGAUUUAUAGGGUGGUGCAACUAUUUCAGCUCACAACUUUCGUCGAAGUUUUCAACAAGGCGCUGUGGGCGGAGCAUGGAGAUGCCCAUGUGUGGGAGGAGCGUGAGUUGUUGGCCGGAUCCCAAGACAAGGGGAAGAAGCGAUCGGGCGGCGGUUCGGGGGGACAAUCUAGUUCGAGGAGGCCCCCGAAGCAUUCGCGGUCGCAGUCGUGGGGCCGUGGGCCGCAGCGUUGCCCUAUCUGUGGAGAUCGAGGCCAUCGGGCACCGCAGUGUAGACAACGACAAGGACGGUGCUUUAAUUGUGGACAAGAGGGACAUAUCAGCCGCUAUUGUCCGGCAAGGGCCUCGUCUACCCCGUCGGUCGCAUCGGCUCUAGCGUCCUCGCCUUAUUAGGGAGGGGCCCCCUAUGUCCCCGUGUCAGCAGGACGCGCAUUGGCGCCGCGCCAGCCGGAGGUGACCCGAUCAGCGCCGAGCGGACGGGUAUUCGCCGCUCAGGCCCAAGCCGAGGAGCCUGCCCAAGCCGAGGAGCCUGAUGUUGUGGCAGGUAUGGUUCUAAUCAAUGGAGUUCGCUCCAGAGCUAUGUUCGAUACGGGUGCCACGCAUUCAUUUAUUAGUAGAGCAUUUGCACGCAUGCAUGACAUACCCAUAGAAGCAAGUGGCAAGUGGCGAGUCGAGGGUCCCGAGUUAGCAUUUAACACCUAUACGGAGUGCUCAUCGGUCCGGUGCAAGUGGGUGAUUAGAUAAUGCCUAUUCGGAUGUUGGAACUCACUAAACUGGAGGCGUACGACGUUAUUUUGGGCAUGGACUGGCUCUCGAAGUAUUAUGCCACGAUCGAUUGUAAGAAUAAAUUGAUCACCUUUCGGGAGCCCGGACAGAAGGAGUUCGUUUAUCGAGCUUGUCGGAGUUCUUGCUUCGUCGCGACAGUAUCGGCGACGAGAGCUAGGAAGUUGGUCAGCGGCGGUUGCGCGGCAUUUUUGGCGACCGUCGUGGAGGUGGACCGAGUGGUGCCGAAGUUAGAGGAUUUGUCGGUGGUGCGGGAAUUUUCGGAUGUAUUUCCCACGGAGUUACCGGGGAUGCCACCGGAUCGGGAGAUCGAGUUCGUUAUAGACUUGAUUCCCGGGACAGCGCCAAUCUCAAAGGCCCCAUACCGCAUGGCACCGGCAGAGUUAAGGGAAUUGAGGGAUCAGUUACAAGAUCUUCUCGACAAAGGGUUUAUCCGGCCGAGUGUAUCGCCGUGGGGAGCGCCGGUGUUGUUCGUGCGCAAGAAGGAUGGCUCGUUUCGACUCUGCGUGGAUUAUCGAGAGUUGAAUAAGGUCACAAUUAAGAAUAGGUACCCGUUACCCCGAAUUGAUGACUUGUUCGACCAAUUACAAGGGUCACGAGUGUACUCGAAGAUAGACCUACAAUCCGGCUACCAUCAGUUAAAGAUCAAGCCGGAGGAUAUCCAGAAGACCGCGUUUCGUACGCGUUAUGGACACUACGAGUACACGGUUAUGCCUUUCGGGCUCACUAAUGCCCCGGCUGCAUUCAUGGACCUGAUGAACCGUGUAUUCAAGGCGUGCUUGGACCGAUUCGUCGUGGUUUUCAUAGACGACAUCCUGGUCUAUUCGCGGAACGACGAAGAGCACGCGGAGCAUUUGCGGACGGUGCUUCAAAUCCUUCGGGAGGAGAAGCUAUUCGCAAAGCUGAAGAAGUGUGAUUUCUGGCUUCGAGAGGUUGCCUUCUUGGGGCAUGUAAUUUCCGAGGGCGGUGUUUCGGUUGACCCGAGGAAAGUCGAAGCGGUCGAGAAUUGGCCACGCCCGACGAACGUCACGGAGGUCCGAAGCUUUGUGGGCUUAGCGGGCUAUUAUCGACGGUUUGUGGAGGGCUUUUCGAAGAUUGUAACUCCACUUACCGGUCUGACACAGAAGGGCGUCAAGUUCAUUUGGAGCGACGAGUGUGAUCGAAGCUUCAACGAGUUGAAGAAAAGAUUGACGUCGGCUCCAAUACUCGCCUUACCGGUGCAGGGCGAGGACUUUGUGGUUUAUAGCGACGCAUCCUAUCUGGGCUUGGGGUGUGUUCUGAUGCAAGGCGGGAGGGUGAUAGCUUAUGCAUCCCGUCAGCUGAAAGAUCACGAGAAGAAUUACCCCAUUCAUGACUUGGAGUUGGCCGCGGUGAUCUUCGCGCUGAAGUUGUGGAGGCACUACUUAUACGGUGCACAUUGCGAGAUCUACACCGACCACAAAAGUCUUAAGUACCUGUUUACCCAGAAGGAGCUAAACAUGCGGCAGCGGCGGUGGCUAGAACUAUUAAAGGACUAUGAUGUCGAUAUUCUCUACCACCCCGGCAAAGCAAAUGUGGUCGUGGACGCACUUAGUAGGAAGUCGGCGAAGAACCUCGCUUUCGAUGUUACCCGGCAAACACCCCUAGGGCUAGAAAUGGAGCGGCUGGACCUUGAAGUGGUCGCUCCCGAGGUUCCGGCUCAGCUGAUGGCACUCGUCAUUCAACCGACCUUAUUGGAGAGGAUCAAGAAAUUGCAACCUGCAGAUCCGAGUCUCCAGAAGGUGCGGCGUAAUAUCGAGGAGGGACGAGAUGGCGAUUUUAGUGUGGACGCCGGUGGCGCGCUUUGGUUUCGAAACCGGUGGUGUGUGCCCGAGGAUGAAGGGCUUCGCGAGUUGAUUUUGCAAGAAGCACACCGAUCUCCAUACGCGGAUCACCCGGGCGGCACCAAAAUGUAUCAUGAGUUGAGGGCACUCUAUUGGUGGCCGGGGAUGAAGGCUGAUAUUGGGCGCUUCGUGGCAAAGUGCUUGACUUGUCAGCAAGUAAAGGCGGAGCGCCGGUUUCCAGCGGGAAAGCUUCAAAGUUUACCUAUUCCCGUCUGGAAAUGGGAGGACAUAUCUAUGGAUUUCCUCGUUGGCUUACCUUGCUCGACAGGGGGCCACGACGCAAUCUGGGUGAUCGUGGAUCGCUUGACCAAGUCAGCACACUUUCUACCGAUCCACACCACCUGGGCGGGAGAUAAAUUGGCGCAGGUGUAUCUAGACGAGGUAGUGAGGUUGCAUGGGGUGCCGAAGUCGAUUGUGUCGGAUAGAGACCCCAAGUUUACUUCGCAUUUUUGGAAAAGCCUGCAGGAGGCCCUUGGCACGCGGCUCGAUUUCAGCACUGCAUUUCAUCCCCAGACAGAUGGACAGACUGAAAGAACCAUUCAGACUCUGGAGGAUAUGUUGCGAGCGUGUGCCAUCGACUACAAAGGAGGUUGGUGUAAGUAUUUGCCAAUGGCCGAGUUCGCCUACAACAAUAGUUAUCACGCUAGUGUGGAGAUGGCACCGUUCGAAGCUCUUUAUGGGCGGAAGUGCCGCUCUCCCAUUUAUUGGAGUGACGUGGGCGAGCGCACUGAAUUUGGCCCUGAUGUGCUGCGAGAGGCGGAAGAAAAGGUCCGCUUUGCUCGCAAACAAUUACUCACGGCGCAGUCUCGACAACAGAGCUAUGCGGAUAGGCGCCGACGAGAUCUAGAGUUUACGGUGGGCGACCGUGUCUUCUUGAAGGUCUCGCCUAUGAGGGGUGUAAGGCGGUUUGGAGUUCGGGGAAAGUUGAGUCCCCGAUAUAUUGGCCCCUAUGAAAUCCUGGAGCGGAUUGGGACGGUGGCAUAUCGGCUCGCGUUGCCGCCGAAGCUUGCGGACGUGCACAACGUAUUCCACGUCUCCAAUCUUCGCAAAUACAUCCCUGAUCCCGAGCAUGCGAUGUUAUAUGAACCGCCGGAACUUCAGAAGGACCUGAGCUACGAGGAAUUCCCGGUGGCAAUUACCGCUCGUGAAGUGCGCCAGUUAAGGAAUCGGGAAAUUCCUUAUGUCCGAGUCCGGUGGAGCAAUCAUGAUGAUCGUGAAGCCACCUGGGAGCUUGAGCAGGAGAUGAAGGCGAAUCAUCCUCGCCUGUUCGAAGGGUAAAUUGAGGUAUAAAUUUAGAAUUUGAAAUUCUAAUCAAGUUUUGGAGUAUUGAAUUCGUUUCGAGGACAAAAAUCUUUUAAGGUGGGAAGGAUGUAAGGAAGUGAAUUCUCGAAACUCGAGGAUUAGACUUCGACCAGAAUCGACUAGUUGUCGAGUGCGUAGGCUUCGGAAAGUCCGAAGGUGUUUAUAAUGCAUAAAGUGCAUUAAAGAAGGGUCCGCGGGAGCACCAGUGCAAAACCUGCACUGGAGCAGAAAUGCUCUCGGGGACCGGUCCCUGGCAGGGAGGGACCGGUUCCAUCAGGCUGGGAUGCGGAGGUCUCUGAUGAGACCGGUCCCUGAUGGGCAGGGACCGGUUCACGAACGUUGGCCCAGCGAAAAUAGCUGAAAUUUGGCUAAGUCCCGAAAACUCAGCUAUCGGGAACCGGUCUCUCGGACAAGGACCGGUCUCCCGGGGACCGGUCUCUCAAGCAAGAACCGGUUCCCGAACGCGAAAAUCCCUCUGCUCGAUAUGGCAGCCUUCGGGGACCGGUCUUCCCGAGUUGGGACCGGUCCCUCACUGCGAAAAUGCCCAGAGAGGGCUAGUUCAGAGGGUGAAAAGUUGAGGGGGCUAUUUGCAAAAUGGCCUUUAUUAGAGGUGGGGGACCUCUCUCCCUCCCUCUCAGCUGCUCUCUCUCUCUCUCUUUCACACUCUUUCCCUCUCUCUCUCUAGGAAAGAAGAAGAAGAAGAAGAAGGAAAAGAAAAGAAAGAGAAGAAGAAGAAGAAGAAGUAGAAGGAGAAGUCAGAGAAGAAGAAGAAGAAGGUCUUCUUCCCUCUCUCCUUCCACCUAGGGCAAGCUUGGAGCUUGGCUUAGAGGUAAGCUCCAAACCCACUCAUGGUAGAUUUCUUAGGGUUGGGUUUUGUUGCUUAGAAUUGGUUCAAAUGGAACCUAUUAGGGAUAAAUAGAAGGUCCGAGCUCGAAAUCGAAGCUCGCACCACGGAUUUCUCCGUUGUUGAGACCUAGGGCUUAGAAAUGGGGAUUUUUGAAAUCUUUGGUUUUGAUCUAUUUUAAUAGGUCGUAAACCCAAUUGCUAGGUCCCGGAACGCGUCGGCGAAGUCGGUUUCUCGAUCCGACGAGCGGGUGCGGAGAUAUCGCCGAAUCGGGUACUUGAGGGCUCGCUUCGCCCCGAGGAGUUGAAGCGGCGUGCGACGACCGCAGUGUCAAGUUUUCUACCAUCACGGCAUCGCCAAGAGGUGGGUGGUGUCCAUCCCGAAGCAAUCGGGCUCCCUUCUAUGUCUUAGUACACGUCGAUUCUUGCAUCUUGUAUUAUUGCAUUAUAGGAUAAGUAUGCAUUGCCUUUCCUUAUGUUUUUCCUUGAUGAUAUCGUAGCGUACAUUGGAUAUUUGAUAUAUUGGAUUGAUAAGGAUUGGGUCGAGAUUGUGAAUCCUAUAAUGUAGAGAAAAUGAUGAACUAUGAACGAGUGACAUCUAGUCAAUAGUAAACUAUGAACGAGUGGCAUCUAGUUGGUAGUAAACAAAAGAACGAGUGACAUAUGUGAGUCGUAAUGUAUAUGAAACCUAUGGACUAUGUGAUGAUUGUGACCCUAGAGGACAGGGUAUCCUCGAGCUUAGAGGAUUGGAUCAUGCUCACGGUCUGUUUAAAUCUUGUGUUGGAAGCCCCACACAAGUAGUGCGCUCUGGAUGUUGGUCACGCCAGGGAUUGCCUAUUUGGCCCCGCCAGACGGUCUCAGGUCCGUAGUGUGAGUUAAUUCUCCCUAUGUGUCGAGAUGGCUAGUGAGCUGUAGGCGAGCCUUCGGGUAAGCCAUGAGAUUAAUGAACAAGUAUAUGAGGUUAAUGAACGAGUGAAUAACUUCACCCUUGGACAUGAUAACAGGUUAGUUGCUUACCUAUUUCAUUGGACAUGCAUUCAUAUAUUUAUGAUUGGGCAUAGUAGCGUAGCUUCAUUUCCGCCAUUUACAGCUUUUCUUAUUAUCUAUCUAUUGGUAUAUCUGCUCAUGCCCGCUUGGACCUAGUGGGGAGAUCGGUGGAGUCGGCGGCCGAACCCACUGGGAACUAAGGAAGUUAGUUCUCACCCCCAUUUUACCACAGGUUCCAGUUCGGGUGUCCCCGGUGAGCGUGAGGAUCGCGGUAAGGGCCCGGCGCUCUAGUCGCAUUAGCUACCUCCUUUUCUUGCAUUAGCCGUCACCUUUUUUUUGUAUCUGAGAGUAGAUGUUGUAUAGGGUGAGGUUCGAGUGCUUGUAUUUAUGUUUUGGAAGAAUGUAAAAGAUGUAAUUACAUGUAUAUAUUAUGUCGAAUGAAUGUAAUAGAUAUCUCUUCUCUCUUUAUGUACUUGUAUAUGUUUUAUACUUGUAUCUUGCUCUCGUCUUGUUGCACUGGUGGUGCUUUUGAUCAUGUAUUCAUGAAUUGAUUCCUGGGUAAAUUCUUAUACAUGGUCCGUUAGUUAGCCUUGGACGGACAGGGGCGGUCCUGUCCGUUCGGCGUCUGUUCGACGCGCCCGGGCCGAACCAAAUUGGUAGCGGUCCCGGGGCGUGACAUAAAUGCUCUUCGUGUUCUUCUUCGGUCCGAGAAUAUACCAAUACGUCGUCAAUGAAUACUACUGUCACGCCCCAAUCCCCGCCAAUUUAGUCGGGUUCGGGUCACGUCAACAGACGCCGAACGGACAGAGCCUCCCCUGUCUACCCAAGGCUCCAACCACAAGUAUAAAUAGGCAAUCAACAAGUGGUUUGCAUAUUUAAUACAAGGCUUGCACGAGGGCAAGCACAACGGAAGCGAAAGCUCUAAGCUAAAUAUACAGCAUACAGGAUAUUUGAUUUCAUUUAAACCAAAUUUAAGUAAACAAAGCUAUUACAUUCCAUUCAACCAUCAUAUCUCUUUACAUUUAGUCAUCCACCAAAUACAUUAUUGUUUACAACUUUACAUCUUUAAUUCAACAAAAUAAAGCUGAUACAUGUACACCAAAAGGGAAAUGACUACAAAAUGUAAUGCAACUCCGGUGGCCGCUACCUACGGCGCUAAACCCUUGCCUCGGUCCUCCGCCACCCCGCUCGUGCUAGGUCCUGUAGGGUUAGUGGUGUGAGAACUACAACGAAGUUCCCAGUGGGCUCGGCAUCCGACCUCGCCGACUUACCUACUAGAUCUAUCUAGGUCUAAGUAUUUCAAGGAAAGAAAAGUAACCGAUACUAAUGCAUCUAAUACUAUGCCUGCAAAGGAAUGUCAGUGGAUACAGAUAAUCAUCAACAUAUGGAAUGCAUGUAUGCGUGUUCCUUUGUAUUACUUUAUCUUUCUUACCCAAUCUUACCGGUUAACUUUGUUAACCCCAAUAGCUCACCAUACCAUCUCCCGUCUACCGGGGGAGGCUUUAAGCACAACCACCCGAGGGAUCGUCGAUGGGAUUCUUCCCGUUGGUGUCUACACUUCGAAGUACACCACUUGAGGGGGAGCGACCUCCCUCAAGCCCAAGUUCAUGUGAGCCUCGAUCCAAUCCUCAAACUGAGGAUACAUAGUCACUAGUCAUGAUGCCACUCUCAUGGUGGGUUUUCUACCUAUUUAUUCAUGCCACCUUCUAGUCAUUUCUAUCAAUGCCAAUCUUGUCUCUAUAGUCAAUGUCACCUUUGUUUACUAUAGUCAAGUCCGAGUCCCACAUUCACACAUUUCUCGGGUUCAAUCAUACAUGUCCAUUUCGGUUCUUGUUCAAUCACUAUGUUCGUCUACGUUAGAAGCAUAAUAUUGUAAUUCUAACCUCUAGCCACAUGUAAGAUUACCCUACUAUGCAUGAAUGGCUAUAUAAUAACAUGCUCAACGAAAGUGAAACAGAUAUAGAAGGGAAUGCCAAACGAUUUCCGGCGUGCACCGCCCCAACCAUCUGAAGAACUACGUGUGGUUAUUAUAUUGAGGUCUUCCCUGGAUUUUACGAAAGCCGCCUCCGCCUAUAAUCAAAACGUGCUAUAUUAGGCCUCAAUGUAUAGACUAACUCAACAUUUACGUAAUGUUAAACUGGAGUUUGCCCGAACAGUGUUAGGUACCCCCAAUUAGGCUGUUCUACGGGGUCAAUUUGUCCCCGACAAUUUAGGCAAAAGCCCCAAAUUCAAGCGCCAAUAUUGUCAUUUAGGGUUUUCCCAUGAAUCGAUCCCAACCUUAAGCAACAAUAGCUUAGGAUCAACUAAGAAGCAUCCUAGUAAGGUUUCUAGACCCUUAGUCCUGGAACACCCACGUUCGAGAACCGGUCCCUGGUCGGGGAGACCGGUCCCCGAAGGCGAAAAAUGCCCAGUCCGGGCAGAUCAAUGGGAAACAAGUGGAGGGGCUUAAGUGCAAUUAUUACAACACUUUAUAUGGUCACCCCUCUCUCUCCCACAGCCAUUUUCACCCUUCUCACCCAUUUCCUCUCUUUCUCUCUCUAGAACUCCUCUAGGGCUUGAAGAAGAAGAAGAAGAACUUGGAGGAGAAGGUGGAUUUGGUGCUUUGGUGGGUUCUACAAGCUCUCCUACAAGAAGGACUUGGAGGGGCUUGGGCUAAGGUGAGUUUUUGGUAGAAAUGAGUCUAGGGCUUGAUUUUAAUCCCUAUGUUUUGGAGCUUUGGGUUGUUUUUGGCCAUGGGAGCCUUCUAUAAGCCUUGAACUCCAUGGAACCCAUGAGAUCUCAAGUGCUCUCAUGGUGGUUGGGUAGGGUUUGCCAUAGAAGCCCUAGGGUUGGUUUCAAAUUUUCGAGUUUUUCAGCUGUUGCGCAGCGAGGGACCGGUCUGCCCGUCAAGGACCGGUCUCCCGAGGACCGGUCUCACCACCAGGGACCGGUUGCCUCAGGACUUUCUGGCAGGCUAUGCGUACGGGGACCGAUCUCUCAGGACCGGUCUCUUCUUCAGGGACCAGUCCCCGAGAGCUCAAAAUCUGGGACUUAGCCAGAUUUUCGGAUCUGCUCUUUCGGGUCCCUUUAGCUUCAUUUAUGGACUCUAAUACACUUAGGGUCCACUUUAACUUGUUCCACUCCAGGUUUCGCUCGUUUUGACGAAACUCGGCACGUCUUACAAGGGACGUGGUAUGUUACAUUCUCCACCCCUAAAAUUUAGUUUCGUCCGCGAAACUACGUAUUCGGAAUCCAUACCUCAAUUCGACUCGUCGAAGAGUUGAGGGUGGCGCUCCCGCAUCUCGCUCUCGAGUUCCCAAGUCUCCUCCCGAUCACCGUGCUCACUCCAAUGAAUUUUAACAUAGGGAAUCUCCCGGUUCCUUAACUUUCUCACUUCCCGAUCCACGAUGUAAGCCGGGAACUCCUCAUAAGUCAUAUCCUCUUGGAGCUCUAUAGGUAUAUAAGUUCCCUCAUAAGUCAUAUCCUCUUGGAGCUCUAUAGGUAUAUACGAGAUAAUAUGAUCCGGGUCGUAGACAUACUUGCGGAGUUGGGAUACAUGGAAUACGUCAUGCACUCCCGCAAGCCUCAGUGGUAAUGCCAACUUGUAGGCUACCACGCCAACUCGUUCCAAAAUCUCGAAGGGUCCGAUAUAGCAGGGACUUAGCUUCCCGCGAACACCAAACCACUUAACUCCUCGCAUCGGCGAUACCUUUAGAAAUACGCGGUCUCCUACCGCGAACUCAAUAUCCUUUCGCCGCUUGUCGGCAUAACUCUUGUG
rnacentral:lncRNA from 1 species